rnacentral:misc_RNA from 1 species
GAUAAGAACGUAGCGAAAUGCGAUAAGUAAUGUGAAUUGCAGAAUUCAGUGAAUCAUCGAAUCUUUGAACGCACCUUGCACCCUUUGGCAUUCCGAAGGGUAUGCUCGUUUGAGUGUCAUUGUACUCUCACACUUCUGAUCCUUUGGAUUGGGAGCGGUGGACUUGGGUGUUGCUGCUUUACUGUGGCUCACCUCAAACGCAUUCGUGCAACUCUUGGUUGGACAUAGUACGGUGUGAUAAGUAUCUUCGCCGGCACCUCGCAAGAGGGUGGCUGAUCAGGAGCUCUGUGCUUUCCAACUGUCUUCAGACAACAACUGACAACUUGACCUCAAAUCGAGUAGGACCACCCGCUGAACUUAAGCAUAUCAAUAAGCGGAGGA